rnacentral:rRNA from 17 species
AUCUCUUGGUUCUGGCAUCGAUGAAGAACGCAGCGAAAUGCGAUAAGUAAUGUGAAUUGCAGAAUUCAGUGAAUCAUCGAAUCUUUGAACGCACAUUGCGCCCCUCGGUAUUCCGGGGGGCAUGCCUGUUCGAGCGUCAUU